UAUGUAUUGAAAAAGGUUCAAGUUGGAUGUUUGGGGAAAGUUAAAAGGCAAAAGAAAAGCAUUGAGCUCAAAGUGAAAAAGAAAAAUGCAUAAGAAAAGAAAAACAAGAAAAUAAAAAGCAUGAGUGAGAUUGGUGAAAAAGAGAGUUUUACUUGAACUUUGAAUGUUAAAAUAGCUCUCUUGACUUAAGGAUUUUGUGAUCUAGAAAAACCAAUUUUUCUUGUUAACUCAGCCUCGUUACAAGCC
rnacentral:lncRNA from 1 species